GUGGGGAAUAUUGGACAAUGGGGGGAACCCUGAUCCAGCCAUGCCGCGUGUGUGAAGAAGGCCUUUUGGUUGUAAAGCACUUUAAGCGAGGAGGAGGCUACCGAGAUUAAUACUCUUGGAUAGUGGACGUUACUCGCAGAAUAAGCACCGGCUAACUCUGUGCCAGCAGCCGCGGUAAUACAGAGGGUGCAAGCGUUAAUCGGAUUUACUGGGCGUAAAGCGCACGUAGGUGGCCAAUUAAGUCAAAUGUGAAAUCCCCGAGCUUAACUUGGGAAUUGCAUUCGAUACUGGGUGGCUAGAGUAUGGGAGAGGAUGGUAGAAUUCCAGGUGUAGCGGUGAAAUGCGUAGAGAUCUGGAGGAAUACCGAUGGCGAAGGCAGCCAUCUGGCCUAAUACUGACACUGAGGUGCGAAAGCAUGGGGAGCAAACAGGAUUAGAUACCCUGGUAGUCC
rnacentral:rRNA from 1 species